rnacentral:siRNA from 1 species
CGGCAUCAGCGUGCUCCGGGCGUC